CAAAACCAUUUCCAGAUCCUUG
rnacentral:siRNA from 1 species